CACCUGUCUUAUCGAAACAUUGCUAUAUAAAGGUAAUGUUUGUGCCUUAAAACAGGGAAUUUCAUUAAGAAAUCUCAAGAAAAUUGUUUGUGUUUUUUAGUACAUCAUGAAAUACAUAUGCGCUGUCGUUUUAAUUGCCACCUUGAACUUUUGGGGUUCAGCUAUGGCCAAUCCUGUUUUCAGCUUCUUGGAUAGUGAUGUGGCAAGAACUAUUAUUAUAUAAAAACAAACAUAGCUCCAGAAGGAAUCCAAGAUGAAGAGCUAGUAAUAAUUUUGAAUUUUUAAUAAAUUUGAUUUUUUUUUUUAA
rnacentral:sRNA from 1 species